rnacentral:rRNA from 1 species
AACGAACGCUGGCGGCAGGCCUAACACAUGCAAGUCGAGCGCCCGCAAGGGGAGCGGCGGACGGGUGAGUAACACGUGGGAAUUUUCCUCAAGGUACGGAACAACUCAGGGAAACUUGGGCUAAUACCGUAUGAUGCAGAGAUGCCAAAGAUUUAUCGCCUUGGGAUAAGCCCGCGUCAGAUUAGGUAGUUGGUGGGGUAAUGGCCUACCAAGCCUGUGAUCUGUAGCUGGUCUGAGAGGACGAUCAGCCACAUUGGGACUGAGACACGGCCCAAACUCCUACGGGAGGCAGCAGUGGGGAAUCUUGCGCAAUGGACGAAAGUCUGACGCAGCCAUGCCGCGUGAAUGAUGAAGGUCUUAGGAUUGUAAAGUUCUUUAGCCUGUGACGAUGAUGACGGUAACAGGAGAAUAAGCCCCGGCUAACUUCGUG